UAGCUGAGCACAUCUCCAUUUCAGAAGGACUGGAAGAUGAAACAAUCCCUGGUUUCCUUUCCUUUUCAGUGCUCUUUAAAGAGCUUGGGAGACUGUGAUUUCCUGAACUUUUAAAUUUGCGACAAAGAAAUCUUGUCUACAGCGUGUUUAAAGGACAGGCUAAUGAAAACUGGUUUUCUGACAACGCUGAGUUACGAGAUGGCAGCACCUGUUGGACUUCAGUGAAAAUAUUCUUGUGGGCUCUGGUUUGCACUUUUUCAAGCCAUGGCUGAGGGAGUGCUGAAGUGUGCAGGGAGCAGAAGGUCCAGCCCAGUGUGGAAGGGUUGGCUGGAGCCUGGUUUGGAUGUCAGUGCAAACAGUGCCACCCUGGCUCCACCAGGAUGUACCUUUGAGUGGAGAGGAGCAGCUCUAAGAAAGCCAAGUACUGAAGAUGUGCAGAAACCUCCGUGGGACUGGUGAUUCCACAGCUGAGAGAAUGAGAGGGGACAUAACUGAGCG
rnacentral:lncRNA from 1 species